AUUGAACGCUGGCGGCAGGCCUAACACAUGCAAGUCGAACGGCAGCACAGAAGAGCUUGCUCUUUGGGUGGCGAGUGGCGGACGGGUGAGUAAUGUCUGGGAAACUGCCCGAUGGAGGGGGAUAACUACUGGAAACGGUAGCUAAUACCGCAUAACGUCGCAAGACCAAAGUGGGGGACCUUCGGGCCUCACACCAUCGGAUGUGCCCAGAUGGGAUUAGCUAGUAGGUGAGGUAAUGGCUCACCUAGGCGACGAUCCCUAGCUGGUCUGAGAGGAUGACCAGCCACACUGGAACUGAGACACGGUCCUGACUCCUACGGGAGGCAGCAGUGGGGAAUAUUGCACAAUGGGCGCAAGCCUGAUGCAGCCAUGCCGCGUGUGUGAAGAAGGCCUUCGGGUUGUAAAGCACUUUCAGCGGGGAGGAAGGCGGUAAGGUUAAUAACCUUAUCGAUUGACGUUACCCGCAGAAGAAGCACCGGCUAACUCCGUGCCAGCCGCCGCGGUAA
rnacentral:rRNA from 1 species